rnacentral:rRNA from 1 species
GACAGAGGUGCCGAGCGUUAGGCGGAAUCACUGGGCUUAAAGCGUGUGUAGGUGGAUGCCUAAGUACCUUGUGAAAUCCCACGGCUUAACCGUGGAACUGCUUGGUAUACUGGGUGUCUUGAGCCAGCUAGGGGCUACCGGAACAAAUGGUGGAGCGGUGAAGUGCGUAGAUAUCAUUUGGAACGCCAAUGGUGAAAACAGGUAGCUGGGGCUGUGCUGACACUGAGACACGAAAGCCAGGGGAGCGAACGGG